GUGAAAUGAAAAAAAGAAGCAUCUUUCUUAAAGGCGUGAAUGAGAUUUCAGAUUACAUGGGCAGGAGGUAUCCAGAUCUCCAGAGUUUGGAAGAUGUUGACAGAAUUAAGAUAGCUACGAAUUUAUCAAUGAGGCUGACUGAAGAGAACAAAAAAAAUAAGGAACUGCAAGAUGCAAUUGAUGACAUUUUGGAAAAGCUUAAGCAACAUUGGACGGUGCAUAACAAGAGGUUAUACUUGUUUGAUAUCUUUAAACCACCCAGAACUUGGCAAGACUGUGCAGAUUAUUGUUCGGGAAAACCUUUCUCCGAAAUG